UGGGGAAUAUUGGACAAUGGGCGACAGCCUGAUCCAGCCAUGCCGCGUGUGUGAAGAAGGCCUUAUGGUUGUAAAGCACUUUAAGUUGGGAGGAAGGGCAGUAAGCGAAUACCUUGCUGUUUUGACGUUACCGACAGAAUAAGCACCGGCUAACUCUGUGCCAGCAGCCGCGGUAAUACAGAGGGUGCAAGCGUUAAUCGGAAUUACUGGGCGUAAAGCGCGCGUAGGUGGUUCGUUAAGUUGAAUGUGAAAGCCCCGGGCUCAACCUGGGAACUGCAUCCAAAACUGGCGAGCUAGAGUAGGGCAGAGGGUGGUGGAAUUUCCUGUGUAGCGGUGAAAUGCGUAGAUAUAGGAAGGAACACCAGUGGCGAAGGCGACCACCUGGGCUCAUACUGACACUGAGGUGCGAAAGCGUGGGGAGCAAACAGG
rnacentral:rRNA from 1 species